rnacentral:misc_RNA from 1 species
AAGUCGUAACAAGGUAUCCGUAGGUGAACCUGCGGAUGGAUCAUUAUGGAGCUGUCCUGCAUGUGUGUGGUGCGUUCUGGAGAGUGGGCGGCGCGGCGCUGUGCCGCCGCCGCCCGCAGAGACGUGGUGGACGCGGCGCGAUAUCACACCUCAGUGCGACAACUUUUAGCAAUGGAUCUCUUGGCUCUC